CCUACGGGUGGCAGCAGUGAGGAAUAUUGGUCAAUGGGCGCGAGCCUGAACCAGCCAAGUAGCGUGAAGGAUGACUGCCCUACGGGUUAUAAACUUCUUUUAUAAAGGAAUAAAGUGAGUCACGUGUGCCUUUUUGUAUGUACUUUAUGAAUAAGGAUCGGCUAACUCCGUGCCAGCAGCCGCGGUAAUACGGAGGAUCCGAGCGUUAUCCGGAUUUAUUGGGUUUAAAGGGAGCGUAGGUGGGUUGUUAAGUCAGUUGUGAAAGUUUGGGGCUCAACCGUAAUAUUGCAGUUGAUACUGGCGGUCUUGAGUACAGUUGAGGUAGGCGGAAUUCGUGGUGUAGCGGUGAAAUGCUUAGAUAUCACGAAGAACUCCGAUUGCGAAGGCAGCUUACUGCACUGCAACUGACGUUGAUGCUCGAAAGUGUGGGUAUCAAACAGGAUUAGAUACCCGAGUAGUC
rnacentral:rRNA from 1 species